GAUGAACGCUGGCGGCGUGCCUAAUACAUGCAAGUCGAGCGAACAGACGAGGAGCUUGCUCCUCUGACGUUAGCGGCGGACGGGUGAGUAACACGUGGAUAACCUACCUAUAAGACUGGGAUAACUUCGGGAAACCGGAGCUAAUACCGGAUAAUAUAUUGAACCGCAUGGUUCAAUAGUGAAAGACGGUUUUGCUGUCACUUAUAGAUGGAUCCGCGCCGCAUUAGCUAGUUGGUAAGGUAACGGCUUACCAAGGCGACGAUGCGUAGCCGACCUGAGAGGGUGAUCGGCCACAAUGGAACGGAGACACGGGCCAGACUCCUACGGGAGGCAGCAGUAGGGAAUCUUCCGCAAGGGGCGAAAGCCUGACGGGGCAACGCCGGGGGAGGGAUGAAGGUUUUCGGAUUGUAAAACUCUUUUAUUAGGGAAGAAAAAAUGUGUAAGUAAAUAUGCACGUCUUGACGGUACCUAAUCAGAAAGCCACGGCUAAAUACGU
rnacentral:rRNA from 1 species